rnacentral:rRNA from 1 species
CACGUAGGGGACGAGCGUUGUCCGGAUUCAUUGGGCGUAAAGCGCGCGUAGGCGGCUCGGAAAGUCGGUCGUGAAAUCCCGGGGCUCAACCCCGGAAUUGCGCCCGAAACUGACGAGCUUGAGUGCGGGAGAGGGAAGCGGAAUUCCUGGUGUAGAGGUGAAAUUCGUAGAUAUCAGGAGGAACACCGGUGGCGAAAGCGGCUCCUGGCCCGACACUGACGCUCAUGUACGAAAGCGUGGGGAGCAAACAGG